AAGACGGACUAAUACCGUAUGACGUCGUUUGCUGACAUCAAAUAACGAUUAAAGGUAUAGCGGUGAUGGAUGGGGAUGCGUCUGAUUAACUUGUUGGCGGGGUAACGGCCCACCAAGGCUACGAUCAGUAGGGGUUCUGAGAGGAAGGUCCCCCACAUUGGAACUGAGACACGGUCCAAACUCCUACGGGAGGCAGCAGUGAGGAAUAUUGGUCAAUGGGCGAGAGCCUGAACCAGCCAAGUAGCGUGCAGGAUGACGGCCCUAUGGGUUGUAAACUGCUUUUAUGCGGGGAUAAAGUGCGUGACGUGUCACGCAUUGCAGGUACCGCAUGAAUAAGGACCGGCUAAUUCCGUGCCAGCAGCCGCGGUAAUACGGAAGGUCCGGGCGUUAUCCGGAUUUAUUGGGUUUAAAGGGAGCGUAGGCCGCCAGGUAAGCGUGUUGUGAAAUGUACCGGCUCAACCGGNUGAAUUGCAGCGCGAACUGUCUGGCUUGAGUGCGCGGUAAGCAGGCGGAAUUCAUGGUGUAGCGGUGAAAUGCUUAGAUAUCAUGAAGAAUCUCCGAUUGCGAAGGCAGCUUGCUGCAGUGCGACU
rnacentral:rRNA from 1 species